AUUGAACGCUGGCGGCAGGCCUAAUACAUGCAAGUCGAACGGUAACAUAAGAAAGCUUGCUUUCUGAUGACGAGUGGCGGACGGGUGAGUAAGGUUCGGGAAACUGCCUGAUAGAGGGGGACAACAGUUGGAAACGACUGCUAAUACCGCAUAUAGCCGAGAGGUGAAAGGAGCAAUCCGCUAUCAGAUGUGCCCAAAUGGGAUUAGCUAGUAGGUGAGGUAAAGGCUCACCUAGGCGACGAUCUCUAGCUGGUCUGAGAGGAUGAUCAGCCACAUUGGGACUGAGACACGGCCCAGACUCCUACGGGAGGCAGCAGUAGGGAAUAUUGCACAAUGGAGGAAACUCUGAUGCAGCCAUGCCGCGUGUGUGAAGAAGGCCUUCGGGUUGUAAAGCACUUUCAGAGGGGAGGAGAAUGACGUUACCCUCAGAAGAAGCACCGGCUAACUCCGUG
rnacentral:rRNA from 1 species